rnacentral:lncRNA from 1 species
UGAGAAACCACUCUUCUUUUUCUGUUUCUUAAACUACUUCCAUUCCCAGUUCAGACUGAGGUCUCCUCACCUGGGAAUGCAAAGCUUAGGGUUUCCAGUUCCCACUCACCAGCCAAGGAGAAGAUGCUGUUUUCACUCAAUUUCUCUAGUCUGAGAAGAGGUAAGACUUGAUAUGAUAGUAAGUUAAAGAAAGACAGCCAAAAUUGUAUGCACAUGGACAUUACUAACAUUUAAAAAUUAUUUUUAUUUUAAUCAUGAAAGUGACACAAGCGUAUUGCAAAAACUUUAGAGAAUACAGUAAGAAUAAUUUAUAUUUUAAUUAUUAUUUUCUUCUUGAUCUGUUCUUGUGCUCAGAAGUUUGUUGUUAUUGGUUAAAUAUAUUAUUCGUGCACACAGGAUAAAAUUCAAGUAGUAAAACAUCACUGUUCCCCUGCCAUCCGGUUCUUCUCCUGAAGGGAAUUGUUCAUAAUAUUCUUUUAUAAUCCUUUUUAUUUCUGUAAAAUCUGUAGUGAUGUUCUACUUUCUUUCCUGAUUUUGGUAAUGUGGUUUUUCUCACUUUAUAUUUCAGUCAACCUAAGUAAAGAUUUGUCAAUUUUGUUGAUCUUUUUUAAAGAACCAGCUUUUGGUGUUGAUUUUCUUCAUGUCGUUUUUCUAUUCUCUUGUUUUUGCCUCCGUGCCAUUGUUCUCUAUCUACUGCUAGCUGUGGACUCAGUUUGCUCUUCUUUUUCUAGUUCCUUAAGGUGUAAAAUCAGGUUGUUAAUUGACUUUGCCACUCUUUCUAAUAUACAUGUGUAUGUAUUAUUUUUAUUUUAUUUUAAUUAUCCUACGGUAUAAUUGAGUUUUUGCAAUGCUGUUUUAUGAAUUUUAGCAAAUAAACAGAUUUACAUAACUAAUGUCACAAUCAGGAUACAGAAGAUCUACUUAUUUUGUUAGUUACUGAGAAAUGAAUUGCAAAAUCUUCAGCUAUAAUUGUGAUGUGUGCAUUUAUUUCUUUCAUAAUUGUUACCAGCAGUUGUUGAUAUGAUAUAUAAAGUUACUUUCUCCUUUUGUAAUUAAUCAUAUUUUAUGGUGUUUUGAAACUAUGUAAAUAUUAUAUUUUCAUCAAAAUUUUAAUUUAUUCAUUGAUUUUAAAUUUUUAUUUUUUAUUUCAUUUUAGAGAGAAAAAGCACAUGAGUGGGGGAGAGGAGCACAGGGAGAGAGGGGGUGGGGGGAGAGAAAUCUUAAGCAGGCCCCAAGCUCAGAGCAGGGUCAGGCUUAAUUCUAUGACCCUGGAAUUAUGACCUGGAAUUAUGAGCUGAAAUCAAGAGUCAGACACUCAACCGAUGGAGCCACCUACAUGCCCCUGAUUUUUUAUUAAUAUAAAUUCAUAAUUUCAUAUUUUAUCUGAUGGGCUAUAGUCUGUUAAAAUAUCAUUAUUUAUUUUGCAGCUCACAUUACAUGCGAUUUCAUCACUAGAGCUUCUUCAAGCUUGCUCGAGUCCCUUUGAUAUGUCCCUGUCAUUCUUUGAGCACUUCCUUGUUUCUUGCACAAGAUGUUCCAGUCUCACUUGUAUUUUUCCAUGCCCCAAACUUGCAAUCAGCCAUUUCUCCAAGAAAUGGAGAAUGUUAUUUAGAACCAAGAUCUUGACACUAAGUAUAUUGAUUGUUUUUGGGUGUCAUUGCCCCUAAGCUCUUUUAUUUUUUAUUUUAUUUUAUUUUUAAGUAAACUCUAUGCCCAGUGUGGGAGUCAAACUCAUGACCCUGAGAUCAAAAAUCACAUGCUCUAGGGGUGCCUGGGUGGCUCAGUCGGUUGGGCGUCCAACUUCAGCUCAGGUCAUAAUCUCACCGUCCGUGGGUUCGAGCCCUGCAUCAGGUUCUGUGCUGACAGCUCGGAGCCUGGAACCUGCUCGGAGCCUGGAUUCUGUGUCUCCCUCUCUCUCUGCCCCUCCCCUGCUCAAGCUCUGUCUCUGUCUCUCUCAAAAAUAAAUAAAUAUUUUUUAAAAAUUUAAAAAAAAAUCACAUGCUCUACCAUCUGAGUGAGCCACGCACUCCUACCCCCAGGCCCUUUUAGUAGACACACUUAUUUAUAUUUAUAUUCAUUCCUACAUCGAUCCAUCAUCUAUUGAUCUACCUAUCAUCUAUCCAUGUACUGAAAACUAUGAUUUUGCACCAAUACCUCCAAUUUCAAUCCAACAUCACGGGUUUCAUUCCACUUUUCUACCUUUCCGUGUUUCUAACUCUAAUACUGGUAAGAAAAUCCAGGCUUCUAUUAUUCCUAAUACUAUUACUUAUUUUUUAUCAAUCUACUAGUUUGUAACCAAUCUCUUAUUCCUGUACCCCUCUCUCUCCUGUGCAGAUGCCCACCUUAUCCCACUUGAACUCCAACAGACACCUUGCACCAGGUUGCCCUACAUGGAGGCACUUUCACCCAGUUUUGCCUCUGACUUCUUGUGCCAUCAUUGCCUCCUGUGGGGACACUCUCCUCAUCCUCCUUUGGCAUUGAAAACCUGGUUUGAGCUGCUGCUUCUGAGGGAUACCCUUGUCACCUGGUGAGCAGAGAAGAGUUAAUAUAGCAGACCUGAGACUGCUCUCCAUAGAAGAGCCUGCUUGAAAGGUUGGCCUGUGGCUAGCGUCUGGUAACUUGGAUUUCAGGAGGGUUUCAGCAUUCCCGUGAGAAGGGUGGCUCACUGUGUCCCAACUGUUUGUAUAAAUAACAUGCUUUAUACUGAACAAACUGCUUUCCUUGUGGGUAUCUGGGAUUCUGGCUAGGCAUAGAGUGCCUAUAUGACCAACUUCCAACAAAAACUUUGGGCCCUGAGUCUCUAAUAGGCUUCCCUGGUAGACAACAUUUCAUACAUGUUGUCACAAUUUGUUGCUGGAGGAAUUAAGCAUGUUCUGUAUGACUCCACUGGGAGAGAGAACCCUCAGAAGCUUGUAUCUAGUGUCCUCUGGACUUUACCUCAUGUACCUUUCCUUUUGCUGAUUUUGGUUUGUAUCAUUUUGCUGUAAUAAAUCCUAGCCAUGAGUAUGACUAUGUGCUGGGUCCUGGUUAAUCAUUGAACCUGGGGGUAGUCUUGGGGACCUCUGUCAAACCUGGCUUGGGUUCUGAAAACUUGGAAUGGGCUGCCUCU